UACGUAGGAUGCAAGCGUUGUCCGGAAUUAUUGGGCGUAAAGAGCUCGUAGGCGGUCUGUCGCGUCUGCUGUGAAAACUCAGGGCUUAACCCUGAGCUUGCAGUGGGUACGGGCAGACUAGAGUGCGGUAGGGGAGACUGGAAUUCCUGGUGUAGCGGUGAAAUGCGCAGAUAUCAGGAGGAACACCGGUGGCGAAGGCGGGUCUCUGGGCCGAUACUGACGCUGAGGAGCGAAAGCGUGGGGAGCGAACAGG
rnacentral:rRNA from 1 species